UACGGGAGGCAGCAGUGGGGAAUAUUGGACAAUGGGCGAAAGCCUGAUCCAGCCAUGCCGCGUGUGUGAAGAAGGUCUUCGGAUUGUAAAGCACUUUAAGUUGGGAGGAAGGGCAUUAACCUAAUACGUUAGUGUUUUGACGUUACCGACAGAAUAAGCACCGGCUAACUUCGUGCCAGCAGCCGCGGUAAUACGAAGGGUGCAAGCGUUAAUCGGAAUUACUGGGCGUAAAGCGCGCGUAGGUGGUUUUGUUAAAGUUGAAUGUGAAAGCCCCGGGCUCAACCUGGGAACUGCAUCCAAAACUGGCAAGCUAGAGUAUGGCAGAGGGUGGUGGAAUUUUCCUGUGUAGCGGUGAAAUGCGUAGAUAUAGGAAGGAACACCAGUGGCGAAAGGCGACCACCUGGGCUAAUACUGACACUGAGGUGCGAAAGCGUGGGGAGCAAACAGGGAUUAGAUACC
rnacentral:rRNA from 1 species